rnacentral:tRNA from 1 species
CGGGACGUAGCUCAGCUUGGAAAAGAGCGCACGCUUGGGGUGCGUGAGGUCGCUGGUUCGAAUCCAGUCGUCCCGA